CAUGUCGGUCAAGCCUGUCAGACUCCUGUGGAGUCUGCGUCUGUCAGAAGGAUUUCUGCUCUCUUCUAUAACUUUCUACCCCCAAGAUCAGGUUUCUCUGUGCAGCUCUGGAUGUCCUGGAACUCACUCUGUAGACCAGGCUGGCCUCUACCUCAGAGAUCCACCUGCCUUAGCCUCCUAAGUGCUGGGACUAAAGGUGUGUGCCACCCCUGCUCAGCUCUAAUAGAGGUUUUUUAAAGGUCAAAAGUGUCCUCUGGCUUCAUUACAAUGGCUGUCCACACUUGUGACUUUCUGGGUAAGUUCCCAGGGCUCCCUUAAGUCCCUGCUUAGGCAGCAAAUAAGAGGCUUUGGCUAGUGGUCCCCAAGUCACCCCAUAGCACCACACAUAUGAGGAGGACAGGGAGGCUCAAUGGCUUGAAGGAUGGAUCCAAGGCCUGUGGUGAUUCCAGAGGACCCGGAUAGCCCAGCUGGGGGCAGGGCCAGUGGGCAGAGCCCCCAUGAGACACAAUAAGGUACGAUAGCAUCUCGCCUCAUCUCAGGCCGCGCUGGGCCCUUGCGUGCAGGAUAUGACCAGCCCUCGAGCCGACGGCGGCCCCUUUGUCCCAUCUCUGGGGACCGAUCUUAUCGGUUGCGUCCACUGCCUCCAUAAUGGAAAAAAACGCACCGAGGAAAUCAAAAGUUACGCACAGAGAUAGAGAGGUAAUAAAUAAAUAAAUAAGUAAGAAGCCAUUGUGGCUAUGGGGAAGGGGUGCCUCUCAGAGAACAGCAAUAUCACAGGGCUGGCAGGGAGCGUCUCACAAACGCUGCUCACACGAGGGCAGUGCUACCCACAACUAAGCAGAGCUGCCUCAGUUUCCCUUCUGGGGCACGGUAAGACCAGGAGACAGGAGGAAGCGUGUCCUAGUACCUGUGCUCUCAGUACUGUGGCUGGACCCUGGACCUGUGUGGAACGCAGUCAUGGGCAUGGGGAGGGGCAAAUCGGCCCACUUUGGCUGCUUUGCCUUACAGCAGCCACCUUGUCCUGUCCAUAUCCCCUGGAGAAAGGGCAGCUCUCUGGAUGAGGCUGUCACAGCUGCCAGUCAAAAUGAGAGGAAUGGGACGGAAGCCAGGGCCACCACAACUUAUUUCUACUCUGGUCAUGAUAGAAAUGGCUGGGGCAGACACGACUCCAGCCAGGACAGGGCAUGACACCAGAGGGAAGAGCGAGUGAAGUGGCGGUCAGAGCUGGCUCUCUCUCCUGUGGUGAUGUUGCUAGCCAAGAGCAAUUUACCAGUGAUGGCCACAGUUGGUUAGGGGCUCUGCUAAUUAGGGUAACUGUGGCUGAUUAGCCAGUGGCAGCGUUAGACAGUCACAAUGCUGGGGCGCAGAGCAGCAGCACUAACCAUGCAGGUGGCAUUAUUAACCAUGACACCAGUAACAACAGCUGUCCCUUACCACACACAUGAUGCAAGGCAGGCAGACCCGUGGUCUCCAUUCUGAGAUCACGACUCUUGUGGUUGAAAUGGCAUGUAGACCUUAUAACUGGGGAGGGGACAGGAGGGAAAUUGCUGGAAGACAAUGCCUGUAGCUCCCCUGGCAAGGCUGGGACCUGCCUGGCUGAUGAUGUCUGGGCUGGCUGUGGGGCUGCUAGCUGGGCAGGAAGCCGGUGGGAGGGCGGAGAAGGAAGCCACUUGAUUAGUGCCGCCACCAAGAUAGCCUGCCCUAGCCACAGACAGCAGGUCCGGAAGGGGGUGAGGUCAGUAGGCCACACAUGGUGGGCAGCCAGGCCUGGGGCCCCCUCUAGGGCUCCAUCUGCACUUCCCACUGGAUGUCCUGUUGUCUGUCCACUUACCCUCUGCCUACAGUGUCUACUGAGAGCUCCUUGGGCUGAGACUUUGUGGUAGGUAAUGGUCUUCCUCAGAGCUGUCCAUCUUGUCUGCCUCAGUUUCAACCUCUGUAAUGGGGUACCACAGUGCCUCCUGCUGCCUGGAGAGUGUACUCUUUUAAGAUGUCCUCAGGGCACAUGACAGCCAAUGGGAUUGCUCUCAGAGCAGACCUGCCUGGCAUGCCUGGCCCCUACUUCUGAUGCCAUGACACCUGCUGUGCCUUAGGCCCAUUUAUCAGGAGUCAGGAGGAACUCUGUGAGAAUCUGGGCACUGGACUGCACACCCACGUCCCCACGCUCAGCCACCUUUCUGUCCCUUGGUCAUUGGCUGCCGUUGCAGCUGCUGCUCAGAUGGGGUCCCCAACCCCAAGAUCUGUAGCAGACUGUCAUGUACUAGAUGCUCAGUGUACAAGAAGAAAGGCGGAUGGGAAACAGCAUGGGGACGGGGACAGUUUGGGAGUUGGGAGAGUCCCCCUCUUCUGCAGCUUCUGGGGCCCAAGACUCAAGAACAGUUGUCAUGGCUAGUCUAGGACUCAUGUGGACAGGGCCAGCAGGCAGCCAGGGUGCCCAUCCCACCUGUCAGUCAUCCUCCCAUGGCCCAUGCUGACCCUAGGCUAUGACCUCUGACCUUUGUUUCUAGAACAAUCACCUGCUUAGCCCACAGUCCCCCUUGAUGGGGUCCCCUACCCCUGAGUAUACUCAGCUUAGGCCCUUCCUGCUGUCUUCUGCUCCGACUAUUCCUGGGUGGCUGGUAGUGUGGCGGCUCAGGAAGCCCCACUCCAACACCGUCUAGAAUCAUCUCUGGGCUUGAAGGGCAGUGGUGUUUCCCAUACGUUCCAGGAGGGCAAGGCCGUCCUUCUGUCUUUCCAGCCCCUGAGGAUGCCUGCCUGCUGGAGAACUCGGUGACUAUUCAGGAAGAAUAUGCCCGACAGUAAAGAUCCUUAGGUCUUUGCACCCACCUAGCUUCGGAUUGUUCAUAGCAAUCGGAAAAACACGAGUCUUCAAAGGGGCUCCAAGCUGGUGGGCUGGGCUCUGAAGCUGACCCCAGGGUGACCCCUAUCAUCUACCAUGCCCCCUCCCCCGCUGACUAAUCUUAGACAAAUAGGCCUAUCAGCCGCCACGCCAGGCCCCGUGAUAACGCAACAUAGCUGGGAUGAUUUUUCCCACCCACACAUGCCAGCCAGUAGGUCGUGGGGAGGGGAGCAUAGCCAGCUAUCGGCCCAUCUCCCAGGCUGUCCAUCAGGACGAGCCGUCCUGCCUCAGCCGCCAGAUAACAGGCCUUGAGGUUCACACAGAAACCCCAGGCCUGCAAGAUUAGUCGGCCGGACACAGUCUAGAUAACAAGCUACCGCUCCAUGGGAGGGAGGGGUCCUGUCUCCUGCUCCCUGGGACCCUGGGCAGGAUAUCUGGCUGGGACCUCCAACAGGAAAUAGCCAGCACCACCCCCUGUGGCCCUAGCAGCAGCCCCUUCCACCCUGAGACCCUGGGAUGCCUAACACGGAUCUGUUCUCCUAGGCAAGUGAUCAAAUGCUGCCCAAUGCCUUUCAGCAUCUCCGCUGUCCGGCCAAGAAUUCUGGGACAGGGUGUGGUUCAGAGGUGAAGUGCUUUCCUAGUGUUUUUGAGAGCUAGGAUUCCAUCCUUAGCUCCACAAGACAAGGUUGUGAGUGAGGACUGUCACAAAUUCUGUGGCUUAUAUCCUGAUCCCUGUCCCACCCAUCUGGGCCCUCCGCUCUUCACCCCUGAGCUCGCCAUAGCCCCAAGGCUCCAUCACGCCAUGACCCCAAUGCCUUAGGACCUCUACACAUCCAGCUCCUCCAUCCUCGUGUGCCUUUCAGUCAUCAGCCUAGAGAUGGGGUCCUUCUCCAGUGCUGCCCCCUGCGCUCUCUCCCACUUGGCCUUGACACUCAGGCACCCCCUGUGCUGACUGACAUUGUUCAGGGACACACUGGCCUGAUACAGGGCCAGCCUUCUUGGCCCUGCCUCCAGGAGCUGGGAUGGGCUGACUGGCUCCCACUCAGAUCAUAGCAGCUCCUGGAAAGAGUUCUGGGCUCCAAGAAACUCCUGGGCGGAAGAGGCACAGUCCUUCCUGCCCUAGUUGGGCAGCCUGGCUCGAGGCCUCUGCACACAGCUGGGCUCCCUCAGACCAGAACUGUGGGGUCAGCCAGGAUGCUCAGUGUCAGCUGUCAGGAGCCACAGGGCUCCCUUCCCUGCUCUACUUUGUCUCUGAGCUGGGAGGUAGCAGAUUUACAGAUCCUAACUCUUCCUAAGGACUGUGCGCUCCAGUCACAUCUUUUCCAAAACUGCACGGGAAGGCGCUGCCCCACUUCUAGCCAGUGUCCUCCUGUCCACAUCCUCCCCAGGCCUCAGGAUGCUGCCAGAUCCCUACCCAGCCCCUAGACACUCCCACGGCACGCCCGUCUAUUCUCUCUGUCCCUGGCCCCUAUGCCUGAAGGCCUGUCUGUCUGUGUAGACCCUCCCAGAAGGCCAGGCCGGGGCUGUUCAUCUAGCCCACAGUAUAUCCUCGCAUGGAUUCAGGGUAGUGAGCCCGUAGGGGUUCAGGUGGCUCUCCUGAUGCUUCCUUCAUUCCAGGGGAUUCUAGAACUGAGAACUGGGUCCUGCCUGGGAAUGGGUGGUCUUGGAUCUCCUAGCAUGUUCAUAUGGUGCUAACAUACUCAGGGUAGCCUUCCCUAGUCACUCUGAUGUCCUCUUGUCCCCUUCCCCCCUUUAUUUUCUGCUUCAAGUUCAGGCUCUACCCCUGGAUCCUCCUCUCAGACAGCGGUGACCAGGAUAAGCUCCCAGUCAAGACACCCACCGGGCAGAACACUGCUGAAGUCCUGUUGAUCUCUGCCCCCACUGCUAGCUGUGGGGCAUUCAUAUUGGCUGCUGGUGGAACUCUCUGGGCCUCUGCACUUGCUUUACAGGAAAGCACACCCCAGGGAUGGUUUGGGGCCACCUUAGUGACUCAGUUUGCCCUACCAGACAGACCCUCAGGGGGCUGGAGAGAGACUCAUUACAGAUGGAAUGCAUUCUGCUGGCACAGAACAUGAAACCAAGGUCCUGAGGUCAGCAGCCCAUCCCUAGACACUUGACAAAGCUGGGCUCCCGCCUCUCACAGCAGCAGCACUGAAGAGUGGCCUGACAGGACAUAGACCUCUUGACGGCCUGGAUCAUCGAGAGCUGAGCCGUCUCGUGUGUGUACAGCAGCUAUGAAGAAUAAGACCACGCCUUACGACAGACACUUUCUGGGGCCCGUUUAAGUCAUGUCUCAUCUAGAGAGGAGUUUGAUGAGUGCCCCCCAUGAUAGUUAGAGACGGGAUGUCCAGUAUGGAGAUCCCAGCCCUGGGCUCUCAGCUCUGUCGUGGGUCCUGUGAGCAUCAUCCCUCAGGGGAGCGGAUGAGAACAUCAGGCCCAGGCAUCUCCCUGAGCCAGACAGAGCUGGAGGGAGACUCAGGGCCCAAGCCAGCUUCUCUCUAGAGAGGAACAAUGAAAGACCUCUCAGGCAGGGUCCCUGAGACCUGCCAGGAGGGAGCUAUGGUCCAGAGGCCAGCAAGAGUCACAGGCAACCCGCAAGGUAAAAGUGGCACUUGGUCUGUCCCCAGACUGGGCACUGCCUUCAGGCCUUAACCCUACAACCCCAGCCCAGGCUUGGGCGGCCCUGGAGAUAAGAGGCCCCUGGGCCUCUCCUGCAGCUUCCCCACCGGGUGAUAAGCACAGCCUGUGCGGGAGCAGAUAGGCAAUGGCUACCACGGCGGUUGGCCGGCAGCCGCUUAUCAACCUCAUCGCUGCCCACUGCGCAGAAAUUCCUAUCUGUGGGAGCCGAUAGUGCACCGCCUGGCCCCCAAGGAUGCAAAUAACUCGGGAAGCUGGGGUGCACCCUGACCCCAAACCACAGCCCCUGGAGCAUGGCCUUCACAGUGGGCAGGCAGUGUAGGCUGCAGGCUAAAGAAGGCCUCACUUCUCCAUCUAAGAAGAGAAGGAAUAACCCUUCUAAGGACGGGGACAGUGGGCAAUGUUCCACACUGUUGUCGGGGACUUCACAUCUGGGCCUCUGUAGCAAGACACAGUUCUCAGCCAGUGAUGUGGUAUGACACUGUGCUGGCCGUAGGGGGCUGACGUGAGGAGCAUUCAUGCCUGCACCCUGUUUAGUACUGAAGUCCACAGACACACGGGGACUCUGCCAGCCCCACGAGCAUUGUUCACUUGCCGCUCGUAGAUGUGGAACAAGGCCCUUUGGGGCUCCUGGUGCUGAGUCACUGACCUGUGAGUGGGAGAGGGUCUGGCACCCCCACAAUUGGGUGCAAUUACUCCCACCAUGGUACUGAGAUCUGAGGUCAGUGCCAGCUCCCACCAGGCACUCCAGAACAAGUGGACAUCUUCACCAUACACCCCUGCCGGGUCACCUAGAGCCCUGAGGGCUGUACCAAGCAUCUGUGUACAUGUGGCAGAGGGCAGUGCUCUGGGAUAACUAGGUAUGGGACAGUCUAUGGCUGGACCCGAUUUCCCCAAGGGUGCAGGUCCCCAUUCUGGCUGUGGCCUCCUAGGUCAGCCCUCCCUCCAUGGCCUCAGGUUGAUGCCCCAUGGUGCAGCUCCAGCCACACCUGCCGUUCUCUGUCACUGGCAGCAGACAUCACCAAUCGACUCCUGCACUCUUCCAAUGCCUUGGGACCCCACCGAAACAACUGCAUGUUCAGUUAAGAGUUCAUUUCUACCCCUUCCCAAAUUAGUUCCCAAGUUUCCCAGAGGAGGGGCGGAGUCUCUGCCCUGGAAAAGCCUUCUCUGAUCCCUUUCUCAUGCCUUCUACCCACAGACAGGAGUCUGGCUGUGUUACACCUGCAUGUUCAUACACAGCUGGCAAUAACUGUGCACACAUAUGCCGCCCACCGCCGUGUUCCCUUGUUGAGGACCACACACCACUUGCCCUGCAUGUUGGCUCUCAGAGCUCAAUAAGAGCCCUGGAAAUCACUGAUGCCCAUGGUUCCCCCAUGAUGUCUGUUUAUCAGAAGCAAGAGUCCCAUGACUGCCAUGCUACUCGGGGACCUGUGAGGUCUGAGCUCCAGCUGCCAGAGUCACUAGCAGCACUCACUGUCUAUGCAAAGGUACUGGCCUGACUGGCUUGUGGGGCAGACGGUAACCAGGAACCUUGGAUGGGCUGUGGCCCCCACGAAGAGCAGCUGUCCUCGCACAAGCCCAGGCCCACCUGGCACCAGCCAGCUCAGCGUCCCAAGCAUCUGCUGCCUGCCGGGAAGCCUCAGCUCAGCAGCUCCACACACAUCCAUCUACGGCCCCUCCAAGCUCUUGGCCCUGCUGUCAUCUCUCAGGCCCCAUGGCCAGUCACACCAGACCCUCCAAAGGCCUGGAGCACAGGCUCUGGGUGUGGGCAUCUUCGAGAUCAUCUCAGACCACAUUGCUUGGGCCAGCAACACAGACCUGGGCACUCGUGGUCCCCAGGGACCCAAGGUCCCAGGACAGCGGAAUCCUCAGCUAGCCCAGAAGCCGGUAGCAAGGCGGCCGGGGUCACUUCACUACUAUACAGGGUUAGUCAGACUGGUUACCUGGGCCACUCCAGGGACUAGCCAUGGCUGACUCUUCUUCCUUUUCCUCUUUCUUCUCAUCCUGGGGCCUCAUCUCCAACUCUUGUCCCUCCACAUCCUCAGGAUCGUCUGGAGACUCAGGGGGUGCCGACACUGUAGGUAGGCUCACAUCUGUAGAGAGGAAAGCAUUGUCACAUCCUCGCUGUGCUAGCCUAUGACCAGGAGGGAAACUGAGGCCUCGGGGCACACAGUCACCUGCCCCUUGGCCUUCUCUAGCACUCCAGGCUUCCUCUUGGUCAUGUCAAGCUCAACCCCUGCUGUUUAUACCAAUAAUAAUUGUUCUUUAGCUACUGUCUGUCGUAGCCCAGUGCCCACCCAGUGCACCAGGGCCUAUGGCUUCCUUCUGGCUCUCUGGUCUCUGCAACAGCUAGGCCCCUCCACCAGCCCCGCACCCAAUUCUAGCCCAAAGGGCAUGUUUGCCUUCCUGGCGGGCCAGAUAACCAGUGUGGCCCCCGAUCGAUGAGCUCCUGCAAAGCCCCUUGGGUGACGUCAUGGGACCAGCAGAUUAUUAAUACCGCGAUAAGGGCUGUGAUUAACAUCAAAUAAAUCAAUCCCGUGGUAUAAAA